rnacentral:rRNA from 1 species
CCCUGCUUUUGUGGGGUGCUCGAGUGGCGAACGGGUGAGUAACACGUGAGUAACCUGCCCUUGACUUUGGGAUAACUUCAGGAAACUGGGGCUAAUACCGGAUAGGAGCUCCUGCUGCAUGGUGGGGGUUGGAAAGUUUCGGCGGUUGGGGAUGGACUCGCGACUUAUCAGCUUGUUGGUGGGGUAGUGGCUUACCAAGGCUUUGACGGGUAGCCGGCCUGAGAGGGUGACCGGCCACAUUGGGACUGAGAUACGGCCCAGACUCCUACGGGAGGCAGCAGUGGGGAAUAUUGCACAAUGGGCGGAAGCCUGAUGCAGCAACGCCGCGUGCGGGAUGACGGCCUUCGGGUUGUAAACCGCUUUCGCCUGUGACGAAGCGUGAGUGACGGUAAUGGGUAAAGAAGCACCGGCUAACUACGUGCCAGCAGCCGCGGUGAUACGUAGGGUGCGAGCGUUGUCCGGAUUUAUUGGGCGUAAAGGGCUCGUAGGUGGUUGAUCGCGUCGGAAGUGUAAUCUUGGGGCUUAACCCUGAGCGUGCUUUCGAUACGGGUUGACUUGAGGAAGGUAGGGGAGAAUGGAAUUCCUGGUGGAGCGGUGGAAUGCGCAGAUAUCAGGAGGAACACCAGUGGCGAAGGCGGUUCUCUGGGCCUUUCCUGACGCUGAGGAGCGAAAGCGUGGGGAGCGAACAGGCUUAGAUACCCUGGUAGUCCACGCUGUAAACGGUGGGUACUAGGUGUGGGGUCCAUUCCACGGGUUCCGUGCCGUAGCUAACGCUUUAAGUACCCCGCCUGGGGAGUACGGCCGCAAGGCUAAAACUCAAAGGAAUUGACGGGGCCCCGCACAAGCGGCGGAGCAUGCGGAUUAAUUCGAUGCAACGCGUAGAACCUUACCUGGGUUUGACAUGGAUCGGGAGUGCUCAGAGAUGGGUGUGCCUCUUUUGGGGUCGGUUCACAGGUGGUGCAUGGCUGUCGUCAGCUCGUGUCGUGAGAUGUUGGGUUAAGUCCCGCAACGAGCGCAACCCUUGUUCACUGUUGCCAGCACGUUAUGGUGGGGACUCAGUGGAGACCGCCGGGGUCAAC